CGAUUGUUCAGUUUAUGUUGUUCCGUGGUAGUGUGUGCAUCGUUCGAUAAACCAAAUUCUACGCAAUUGAUCUCAAGGGCGCAAGAAACGAAGAAACUUUUCAGUAGUUGUAAGUUUCUUAGGACAAAUGAGAAGUUACACUGGCAUGAAAUUUUAGAAAGAAAGGAUUUCAAAUGAAUCAGGAACGUAAAUAUAAAAGCAUUUAACUACAAAACUAAAAAGGUUCCUACCAAGUUGAAAGUUUCUUAGGACGAUUAAAACAAUGAAAAAUUAAACCGGAAUGUCAUUUUAUGAGGAAAGGAUAGAAAAUGUAACCAGAAAUCAUUUAACCAUGAAACUAAAGAGCUUCCCACAAAGUUGCAAGUUCCUUAGGACAAAUGGAAAAUUAAACUGGGAUGUCAUUUUAUGAGGAAAGGAUAGAAAAUGAACCAGAAAUCAUUUAACCAUGAAACUAAAGAGCUUUCUACAAAGUUGUAAGUUCCUUAGGACAAAUGAAAACUGGGAUGUCAUUUUAUGAGGAAAGGAAAUGAAAUGAAUCAGAAAUGUAAAGAUAAAAGCAUUUAACCAAGAAACUAAAAAGCUUCCGACCAGUUGUAAGUUCCUUAGGACAAAUGAAAAAUUAAACUGGGCUGUUAUUUUAUGAGGAAAGGAAAUGAAAUUAACCAGAAAUGUAAAUAUUAAAGCAUUGGACUAAGAAAUUAAGAAGCUUUCCUUCAAGUUGUAAGUUUAGUAGUAUUGAAAAUACUACUACUAGAGCAACAGUUUUAGUAAAAGUUAAUACAAGAAAUUGUAUUAAGUAUACAGGUAUUUGGAUCAUUUAUUCGGAAACCACUCAUCGAGUCUUAUUUUCUUCAGGCACUCGAACCAAUUGAUUGUAUCAAUCUACUAGCACACCAAAAUAAUUGAGAGAUCUCGGAUUCGAACUCUUAGAACAUUAAU